rnacentral:rRNA from 1 species
AAGCAUAUCAAUAAGCGGAGGAAAAGAAACCAACAGGGAUUGCCUCAGUAACGGCGAGUGAAGCGGCAACAGCUCAAAUUUGAAAUCUGGCCGCAAGGUCCGAGUUGUAAUUUGUAGAGGAUGUUUCGGGUGUGGUCCAGUCUAAGUUCCUUGGAACAGGACGUCAUAGAGGGUGAGAAUCCCGUAUGUGACUGGGUGCCUAAUCCCAUGUGAAACUCCUUCAACGAGUCGAGUUGUUUGGGAAUGCAGCUCAAAAUGGGUGGUAAAUUUCAUCUAAAGCUAAAUAUUGGCCAGAGACCGAUAGCGCACAAGUAGAGUGAUCGAAAGAUGAAAAGCACUUUGGAAAGAGAGUUAAACAGUACGUGAAAUUGUUGAAAGGGAAGCGCUUGCAACCAGACUUGCACGCAGCUGAUCAUCCGGUGUUCUCACCGGUGCACUCGGUUGCGUUCAGGCCAGCAUCGGUUUUGGUGGUGGGAUAAAGGCCCUAGGAAUGUGGCUCCUCUCGGGGAGUGUUAUAGCCUAGGGUGCAAUGCCGCCUACCGGGACCGAGGACCGCGCUUCGGCUAGGAUGCUGGCGUAAUGGUUGUAAGCGACCCGUCUUGAAACACGGACCAAGGAGUCUAACAUCUAUGCGAGUGUUUGGGUGUCAAACCCAUACGCGUAAUGAAAGUGAACGGAGGUGAGAACCCUUAAGGGUGCAUCAUCGACCGAUCCUGAUGUCUUCGGAUGGAUUUGAGUAAGAGCAUAGCUGUUGGGACCCGAAAGAUGGUGAACUAUGCCUGAAUAGGGUGAAGCCAGAGGAAACUCUGGUGGAGGCUCGCAGCGGUUCUGACGUGCAAAUCGAUCGUCAAAUUUGGGUAUAGGGGCGAAAGACUAAUCGAACCAUCUAGUAGCUGGUUCCUGCCGAAGUUUCCCU